CAGCACGGAGCCCGACGUGGGGGCUUGAACUCACAAAUCGCGAGAUCACGACCUGAGCCGACGUCGGACGUUUAACUGACUGAGCCACCCAGGCAGUAAAGGACUUUCCGUCCCCGGAGGCCUUGAGCAGAGCCAGGCUCCAGGAGCAGCAGCUGGAGACGCCCACAGCCCUAAUUGCUUCUCUGCACUAAGAGAACAUCCUCUCUCCAGUUCUGCUUAUUCCAUUCAUUUAGCCUCUGGUCUCUAGUAACCAUCCAGGAUUCGUGAAGACCAUCUGGGAGACACCUUCAAGGAUGUGCGAAGCCUGGAGCUCUCUCAGCUGGGAGCUGGGCCCUCGGUGGUCGGCCAGAGAGGACACCCUUGAACGGUCAGAUCGAUCCCCUCUUUGGAGGGACACUGGGGAAGGCUGUGGCCCAGGCGCGCUGCCCGCCAGGCUUCCCGUGGGUGGCGGGUGUAACUUUUCUUCCUGGUUCUCUCUGAGCCGCCAGCUCUGCUCCCCCAGCCCCGAGUGGCGGCUCCUUGGGCCGGAAACAAUGUGCUUUCUCCACGCCUGGGAGUGGAAGUCAGCAGUUUGGCACCGUCUGGCUGGCAGCCUCCACCGGCUUCCUUUGGCACUUUAUUGGCAAAGGCGGUGACAUUUCUUUCAGUUGGGUGGGUGGAGCUGUUAUGCAGACUCUCGCUCUCCUCAUUCGCCAGAUGAAUAUUCAUGACUCAGGCAAUCUGUACCAGCCAGACUUUCCUGAGGGCGGCAGCUUUUCUUCUCUUCCUCUCUCUCUUUUUCUUUCUCCUUCUCUCCUUCCCAGCUCUUUGGAAAGCUGGAGUACAGCUAUAUUUAAUUUACAAAUACGGAGCUAUUUAGCUUGCCUUUUGGGGUGCAGGCACUGGGGAGGAGAUGCCGGGGAUGGGAACAGUGGAAGCAUUUGGUCCCUGACCCUGGGCUUCCUGGUCCCAGUGUCCAGCCCCCAGGCCCCACAGCCUGGGAAGCCUUAUGGAUCCGGGGCUCCCUUUGAACUUGGCAUCUCGGUGCCUGCAUGCCCGAAGGUGCGGCAGCUCCGUGCCACCUCGUUCCGCGCUGGCUGCCGAGGUCAACGUGGACGUCUGAGACACUGGUGCCUUCCUGCCCAGUGCAUGGCAGACCCCAGCGAUAGAUGAACGCUCCCUUGGUCUCCCUACUGUGCUCUCCCGCUUGUCAAGGCCCACUCAGACCCUGCUCCAAGCCCUAGACAAAACCCCAGAAGGCACUGGGGCAUUUGCUAGUCAUUUCUUUCCUAGAGGAAGAACCAGUCCCUACUUGGGGUCCCCGUUCUCUGGGGAUACACCUGCUCCUUCCCUGGGAAGGGUGGCUACCUACUUUCUUUUGUCUCUUCCCAUAGAGGCACCAGAAACUCUGGCAAAGGGCUCAGAAUUUCCAGAAUUUGCCAGGGAAUUUGGUCUUAGCAAGGAUGUUCUCGUGUAUGUCUUGUGUGUGUGUGUGUGUGUAUGUAAAUAUUUACGCACAGCUUAAGUGAGUCUGUAUGCCUACAUCUAUGUUCGAGUGUUUGAGUGUGUGUCUGUAUGUGUAAGGGCGUGAAUGUGUAUGUGGCGGGAAGUCUGGGAAUGUCUGCAUGUGCGAAUGCGCCUCUCCAGUUAGAGUUGCGUAUGUAUCGUUGUGGGUCUGGGGUGUUGUGUGUCAAGGUGCUCCUGGCGGGGGGGGGGGGGGGGGGCAGAGGCUCGUCUGUGUAGUGUGUAUGUGUGCAUGUGCUAGUGAACUGUAAGAUGUGUGUACAAGUGUAUGUGUGCAUGAGAGUCUGGAGGAGAGAGAGAGAGAAAGAGAGAGAGAGAGAGAGAAUGAUUCCCCCUGACCUCCAUUCUCUCCCAAACCUCGCCGUCUAGGGAGGUGGGCGGCCCCCCCCCCCCCCACUUUGCAAGUGUUACAGAUUCUAUCCAAGGACGGGAACAGAAGGCUUCCCAGCACAGAGCGUCCUGAAAUUACUUUAUAUUCCCCCCUCCUUGUUUCAUCUAAUCAAAAUAGCGUUAGGCUCACCCAUUCUCCCUGCCCAUCCACUUAGCCCCGAGGGAGGGAGCGAAGCGGGCCAUCUUGUCUGACCUCCUCUGAGAGCACCUUGCAGCCCCAAGCCAAGGAGCUGUCUUCCAAAUCUCCUCGUUCCACGGCCCAUGCUUCAGUGGCAAGAGCCAGCUGCCUCCCUGCCUGCCAGCAACCGCCAAGCUCUUCCAGAACCCACAUCCAGGCUCAGCCUCAUUUACAAAUAUGCAAAUUUGCAUCUUUUCUGGUAUGCAAAUGGAGACAUGACAAAUAGCUAAUUAGGGUCAAAAGAAGCACUCUGAACCAAUUAGUUGUAGGGUCGAUUCCUUUCUGCUGGGAGGAGACUGGCCUCUCCUGCCCCCCUCCAUCCCUGGCUCCCCCAGGCCCACACACUCUGGCCUGUCCCGUCUGGCUGGGGCCAUGGACGGUCAAAGAGCACUGAAACAGGGGUUGUUGCUUGAAUCACAGUCCCACUCUGGGUGUUAGCUGUGUGACCCUGGACACACUCACCGGGACCUCGGUGUCUCCCUCUGUGAAACAGAGCAACGGCAGUGGCUGUCUUGCCCCUAAACCUCCACCCCAGUGUCGUGAGACUUUGGGGGGACUUGGAUGGCAAUAGCCUCUGGAAACUGUACUAAAAUGCCUCUGAUAGGCGCAUCACUUGUGUUCUUCCAAAGUAUUCUGCCCUUGAUUUCAUGUAAUCGUCACAUCCACCCUCUGAAUUAGAUGAAUUAGAUGUA